GGGGAGGUAGUGCACGGAAGACAUUUACAGGAGAUGGUGCAUGGAGGACAGCCACCACUGAGGAGAAGCUCAGUGGACAGUGGCUCCUUUCCUGUCCCCUCUCCUUCCCUUCUGCAGGACAGCUUCACUGAAAAGGCUCCACUUUUCAUCCUGCUGUGAAAAAACCAGCGCCCUCUCUUAAGUCAACCAGCAGAUUCUACAGCAAAUGGUCAUGGUGUGUAGCUCAGGAUCAAAGAAGAACGCGGUGGAGAUUGGGUUGAGACCUUGAAUAGCAAUCACUUCAUACGGAGUCUCAUCAAUGAGCUGCAGCAUCUGGCGCCCAGAAUGGACUUGAAACACAGAUGUGGGCUUUUCUUUCACUCAGAGCAAUGCCAACAAGGACUCAUGACUUUUGUGACUCCUUAGCACUGCUGGCUAAAAUUGGAAAUCAUUAGAUAAAUAAAAAGCAACCAAGAAAAAGUCAGCUGUCUCUGAAGAUUGGGUGGAUCUUGCCACCGUCGCCACUCUGCCUAGUGAAGAGUUAUUAUGAUCAAAAGGACCCUGCAGAAAAGCAGAUCUUUCUCAUGUUGGUGAAGAGAAAAGGAAAUAAGAAAGAAAGGUAGGAAAACAAUCACCCAAAAUGAUCCUACAGCCAGCUUUGUUUCCCUAAGAUAUUAGUUAUCAAGCCAGAGAUGGCAGCACACAGCCCAGGUAUGAACACUGAAACUUCACUUUUUCUUCUGCAUCCUACUCUCAGUCUGGACAUGGAUAGGGAGAGUGGGUAGGAGAAAAAAAGAGAGUGGAAGGGAGGAAAGAGAAGGGAGAAGUUAUGGUACAGCAGAGACUGAAGAAUUUGUGGUUCAGACAGACCUGGAUUCAAAUCUUGCUUCUAUUACUUAUGAGCUGUUGUAUUUGGCAGGAUGGUUAAACUCUCUGAACCCAGAUUUUGGCACCCACAGAAUAGAAAAAUAAAGCCCUCUUCUGUGGUACAUUAAAAAUGGCCACAGACUUUUUAUACUUCCUCCCAGGAAGAGGUGAUAUCUAUUUUCCAGGCUUUGAAUCUGGCCUUGUGACCUCGCUUUGAUCAGUAGAAUAUAGAAGUGAGAGCAUGUCAGGUCCAAACCUAGACCUCAAGAGGCCUUGCAUCUUCCCUUUUGCCCUUUUAGACCUCCUCACUAAGCUGAGGGCAAGUGGAGACGGAGCAGCCUCAGGCAAAAAGGUCAGAGUCUGACUGUUCUUCCUGAAGUUCAAGCUGUUUUUCAAGAAUAAACAUUCCUCAAUUUAUUGUGUGCCAUUGGUUGAUUUUUAGUGUCCUGCAAUGGUUGCUUGUGAUGGUCUUUCCAGUUUUAUGCUUGGUCUUAGAUGGACUUUGUCCAGGGAAAGAUUCAGGUGGGGACUCUGUCCUCUACACUAACAUUGAAAAACGACUACUAUAUGAGAGAAAGGGUAUGGUAGUGGAGUAAUCUGUUUUCCUUUCCAAAUUCUGAGUGUGAAGGCCAGGAGAAAAAUCUUGAAUAUCAAGCCCCUUUCCCUCAAAAACAAAACAAAACAAAAAACGCUUCAACCCACAGCUUACUCUUCAUCUAUGAACUUCUACUAUAUAGUCGUGCCUAUUUGGUGAAUCACUUUGGGACCACGUCACAUCAAUUCUCUUUUGCAAUACUAUCUGGUGUUUAGUUUGAAGACUUUUUCUUUUUGAAGCAUUUCUAUGAGUGGUAGGCAGAAUGAUAAGAUUACUGUCUCCUGCUGUAGAGGCCUUACUUAAUCCCCUCCCCUGAGUGAGGGCAGAACCUGUGAAUGUGAUUGGAUAUCACUUCUGUGAUUGUGUUAUGUUCUACGAUAAGAGAGAUUUUGCGUAUGUAAUUAAGGACCCUAGUUAGUUUACUUUGAGUUACUCAAGGUUAUCCUGGGUGGACCCAACAUAAUCAGGUGAGCGCUUUAAAUGUAGAGAGCUUGCUCCAGCAGUUCUUAAACAGGAAAGAAAUAGCUACGUUAUUAACUUCCUUUGCAAAGGGGCAGCCUCUCAGAGCUGAGAGUGAUCCUGGCUGACAGCUCGCAAGCACAUGGGACCUCAGCCCUGCAAUCCAAGAACCUGAAUUCUGCCAACCACUACUGAACUUGCGAGAGAACCUGAGUCUCACAUCACAUGCAGCCCCAUGUGACAUCUCGAUUACAGCCUUGUAAAACUCUGAGCAGAGAACCGGGUUAUAUUAUGUCCAGACUUCUC